GGAAAGAUAGCGAAGUGGCUAAACGCGGCGGACUGUAAAUCCGCUCCUUCGGGUUCGGGGGUUCGAAUCCCUCUCUUUCCA
rnacentral:tRNA from 4 species